rnacentral:tRNA from 1 species
GACAAGGUGGCUGAAUGAUUAGGCAGUGGAUUGCAAAUCCAUUUUAUGCAGGUUUAAUUCCUGUCCUUGUCU